UACAGAGGGUGCGAGCGUUAAUCGGAAUUACUGGGCGUAAAGCGCACGUAGUCGGCUUUGCAAGUCGGUUGUGAAAUCCCCGGGCUCAACCUGGGAACUGCAUCCGAGACUGCAUUGCUAGAGUAUGGGAGAGGAAAGCGGAAUUCCUGGUGUAGCGGUGAAAUGCGUAGAUAUCAGGAGGAACACCGGUGGUGUAGACGGCUCUCUGGACCGUAACUGACGCUGAGACACGAAAGCGUGGGUAGCAAACAGG
rnacentral:rRNA from 1 species